UUACUGGACUCAGGACGAACGCUGGCGGCGUGCCUAAUACAUGCAAGUCGAGCGAACAGAGAAGGAGCUUGCUCCUUCGACGUUAGCGGCGGACGGGUGGGUAACACGUGGGCAACCUACCUUAUAGUUUGGGAUAACUCCGGGAAACCGGGGCUAAUACCGAAUAAUCUGUUUCACCUCAUGGUGAAACACUGAAAGACGGUUUCGGCUGUCGCUAUAGGAUGGGCCCGCGGCGCAUUAGCUAGUUGGUGAGGUAACGGCUCACCAAGGCGACGAUGCGUAGCCGACCUGAGAGGGUGAUCGGCCACACUGGGACUGAGACACGGCCCAGACUCCUACGGGAGGCAGCAGUAGGGAAUCUUCCACAAUGGGCGAAAGCCUGAUGGAGCAACGCCGCGUGAGUGAAGAAGGAUUUCGGUUCGUAAAACUCUGUUGUAAGGGAAGAACAAGUACAGUAGUAACUGGCUGUACCUUGACGGUACCUUAUUAGAAAGCCACGGCUAACUACGUGCCAGCAGCCGC
rnacentral:rRNA from 1 species